AUUGAACGCUGGCGGCAGGCCUAACACAUGCAAGUCGAGCGAGCGGCGGACGGGUGAGUAAUGGCUGGGAAACUGACUGUUGGAGGGGGAUAACUACUGGAAACGGUCGCUAAUACCGCAUACCAUCAGAUGUGCCGAGAGUGGCUUGGCUAGUAGGUGGGGUAACGGCUCACCUAGGCGACGAUCCCUAGCUGGUCUGAGAGGAUGACCAGCCACACUGGAACUGAGACACGGUCCAGACUCCUACGGGAGGCAGCAGUGGGGAAGAUUGCGCAAUGGGCGCAAGCCUGAUACAGCCAUGCCGCGUGUGUGAAGAAGGCCUUCGGGUUGUAAAACACUUUCAGCGGGGAGGCGUUACCCGCCGAGGAAGCACCGGCUAACUCCGUGCCAGCCGCCGCGGUAAUAC
rnacentral:rRNA from 1 species